rnacentral:rRNA from 1 species
UACGUAGGGGGCAAGCGUUGUCCGGAGUUACUGGGCGUAAAGCGCUUGUAGGCGGUCCACCAAGUUUGGGGUGACAGUUGCCGACUUAAUCGGCAAAGUGCCUCAAAGACUGGCGGACUUGAGGGCCACAGAGGGACAUGGAACUCCAGGUGUAGUGGUGAAAUGCGUAGAUAUCUGGAAGAACACCAAAGGCGAAGGCAGUGUCCUGGGUGGUCGCUGACGCUGAGAGGCGAAAGCCAGGGGAGCGAACGGG